GAUGAACGCUGACAGAAUGCUUAACACAUGCAAGUCAACUUGAAUUUGGGUUUUUAACUUAGAUUUGGGUGGCGGACGGGUGAGUAACGCGUAAAGAACUUGCCUCACAGCUAGGGACAACAUUUAGAAAUGAAUGCUAAUACCUGAUAUUAUGGUUAUAGGGCAUCCUAUAAUUAUGAAAGCUAUAAGCACUGUGAGAGAGCUUUGCGUCCCAUUAGCUAGUUGGAGAGGUAACAGCUCACCAAGGCGAUGAUGGGUAGCCGGCCUGAGAGGGUGAACGGCCACAAGGGGACUGAGACACGGCCCUUACUCCUACGGGAGGCAGCAGUGGGGAAUAUUGGACAAUGGACCGAGAGUCUGAUCCAGCAAUUCUGUGUGCACGAUGAAGUUUUUCGGAAUGUAAAGUGCUUUCAGUUGGG
rnacentral:rRNA from 1 species